CAAUGCGAGCAAUCGUGAUAAGGGAACUCCGAGUGCCUGUAAAAUCAGGCUGUCCGCCAGUGUAAAUAACUGGUGAAGAAAGGGCCGGGCAAGACCGGUGCCAGCCGCCGCGGUAAUACCGGCGGCUCGAGUGGUGGCCACUAUUACUGGGCUUAAAGCGUUCGUAGCUGGUCUGUUAAGUCUCUGGGGAAAUCUUCCGGCUUAACCGGAAGGCGUCUCAGGGAUACUGGCAGACUAGGGACCGGAAGAGGUGAGAG
rnacentral:rRNA from 1 species